rnacentral:rRNA from 1 species
UUCCUUCGGGUGCGUUGAUGGGCGGCGAGCGGCGGACGGGUGAGUAAUGCCUGGGAACAUGCCUUAGUGUGGGGGAUAACCAUUGGAAACGAUGGCUAAUACCGCAUAAUCUCUUCGGACCAAAGCGGGGGACCUUCGGGCCUCGCGCGCUAAGAUUGGCCCAGGUGGGAUUAGCUAGUAGGUGGGGUAACGGCUCACCUAGGCGACGAUCCCUAGCUGGUCUGAGAGGAUGAUCAGCCACACUGGAACUGAGACACGGUCCAGACUCCUACGGGAGGCAGCAGUGGGGAAUAUUGCACAAUGGGGGAAACCCUGAUGCAGCCAUGCCGCGUGUGUGAAGAAGGCCUUCGGGUUGUAAAGCACUUUCAGCAGUGAGGAAGAGGUGGUGUUUAAUAGAUGCCAUCUUUGACGUUAGCUGCAGAAGAAGCACCGGCUAACUCCGUGCCAGCAGCCGCGGUA